rnacentral:rRNA from 1 species
UAACGCGUAGGAAUCUGCCUUAUAGUGGGGGACAACGUGGGGAAACCCACGCUAAUACCGCAUACGCCCCACGGGGGAAAGCAGGGGAUCUUCGGACCUUGCACUAUUGGAUGAGCCUAUGUCUGAUUAGCUAGUUGGUGGGGUAAAGGCCUACCAAGGCAACGAUCAGUAGCUGGUCUGAGAGGACGACCAGCCACACUGGGACUGAGACACGGCCCAGACUCC